CAAACAUAGAUGAGAUAAGAAAAAUAAUUGAAGAGGAUCUAAAUCCGUGAUAGACACGCUAAUUGCAUGUGUUGAUGAAAGCAUGUUUAAUUGUUUACUCUUAAAAUAAACGUGUACAUGUUGAAUUAAGUUAGGUGAUUGAAGAAUCUACCCAAACCCAUGCCUUUGUUUCUCAGAUACCAACUCAAACAUAUGUAAUCGUUGAAGAACAUGUUGAUGUUCCAACCGCUGAACAGGGAAAUAUAAGGUAACUCCAAAACC
rnacentral:lncRNA from 1 species